GGCCAAAAUGAAGGAAGCAAGCAAAGUGGCAGCAUGUGCCUAGACUGCGUAAAGGAAGAAUAUCCUGACAGGGAAACUGUAUGCAUUGAAACUGGAUCCUACCUGAUGAAUUUUGCCAAGUGUGCACAUUGCAAUAAUUUGGGUGAUGUUAAAAUAGUUAACAGAACAGAAGAAGAAGAAGAUGGGGAAGAGUUGAUAACAUACCAGCAUGUCUGCCAAGAAUGUGGCCACAUUAUAGCCAAUCAUAGAUACUCAUUUUAUGUUGAAGAUGAUGAAUAUCAGAUGUAUGAAAUGGAAUGCUUGUUGUGUGGGAGAGGAGAAGAUUCAAGGAGUGUAAUGCCUACAGACCCAAAACAUAUGCAACAGUUAUUUUAACUAACAUUCGAUUACUGAGAGUUAUAUUGUAAAUAUUAGUAUUUAUGAGUAUAUGCUUGGACAGUCACCAUGUUAAAACUUUGAAAUGUUCCUUGACAUCAGAUAUAUUACUGGAGGUCAAUAGUAACGACAAGGUUGUUUUUUUUUUUUUUUUUUUUUUCAACAAAAUCAUCACCAAAACAUGCAAUAAACUAUUUUUAGAUUAUGUUUCUAUCAGACUUAGGGUCUAUUCCCACAACUUUAGAUCGAUCUAUCACCGCGGGGAGUCUCACCAGACUACCGUCAGAUAA